GCAUACAUGUGGUGCAGGCAGGGAGAUCUGAGCGCUCCCAGAACAGGCAGUGUAAUCACAUGUUCCUCGGAAGUACAGUAGCCCUGCCGGGCACUAAGCUUGCCAGUCCACUUGGGGAGGAAAAGUAGAUUUUGGGGAUGGUGGAAAGGUCUGUUCAUAACUGACUUCCUCCUCAGUUAUGAUGAGGGCAUUUGCUGAUCUUCAGUGACCGCCUGGUGCUGGUGGUCAGGCUUGGCUCCCUGGUUCCCAGAUACUUGAUUCUGCAACAGGGACACACCUUUCUGCAGGAAAGAAGACACUGACCAGAUUGCAAGCGGUGUUUAUGGAUGCUUUGCAGUCACCCAGGGCCCAGGCGAACUGACUGUGCAGGAGCAUUUGUGCAUGGGAAUCAGAGACCAUGGCCGUGCAGCUGGUGCCGGACUCUGCGCUCAGCCUGCUGAUGGCUCUUUGGAAGCGAUUUCUUGAGUACAGAGUAUCAGCCAUGACAAAGCACUCCCAGGGAAAAGAAGCAUUGGAUGUGCC